GUGGGGAAUAUUGGACAAUGGGGGGAACCCUGAUCCAGCCAUGCCGCGUGUGUGAAGAAGGCCUUUUGGUUGUAAAGCACUUUAAGCGAGGAGGAGGCUUACCUGGUUAAUACCUAGGAUAAGUGGACGUUACUCGCAGAAUAAGCACCGGCUAACUCUGUGCCAGCAGCCGCGGUAAUACAGAGGGUGCGAGCGUUAAUCGGAUUUACUGGGCGUAAAGCGCGCGUAGGUGGCCAAUUAAGUCAAAUGUGAAAUCCCCGAGCUUAACUUGGGAAUUGCAUUCGAUACUGGUUGGCUAGAGUAUGGGAGAGGAUGGUAGAAUUCCAGGUGUAGCGGUGAAAUGCGUAGAGAUCUGGAGGAAUACCGAUGGCGAAGGCAGCCAUCUGGCCUAAUACUGACACUGAGGUGCGAAAGCAUGGGGAGCAAACAGGAUUAGAAACCCCAGUAGUCC
rnacentral:rRNA from 1 species